AAUGAACGUUGGCGGCGUGGAUUAGGCAUGCAAGUCGAGCGAGGAGAGUUUGGUAGCUUGCUAUUGAACUCGGAAAGCGGCGAAAGGGAGAGUAACGCGUAGUUACGUGUCCCAGGGUUCGGAAUAGCCACGGGAAACUGUGGGUAAUGCCGAAUAACAUCUCCGGAUCAAAGGGGUGAUCCCGCCCUGGGAGCGGACUGCGUCCUACUAGCUAGUUGGCGGGGUAAUGGCCCCCCAAGGCAACAAUGGGUAGCGGGUGUGAGAGCAUGACCCGUCUCACUGGGACUGAGACACUGCCCAGACACCUACGGGUGGCUGCAGUCGAGAAUCUUCGGCAAUGGGCGAAAGCCUGACCGAGCGACGCCGCGUGCGGGAUGAAGGCCCUCGGGUUGUAAACCGCUGUCGUAGGGGAGGAAGGCUCCAUGAAGAAUGGGGUUUGACCUAUCCUAGGAGGAAGUACGGGCUAAGUUCGUGCCAGCCGCCGCAGUAA
rnacentral:rRNA from 1 species